AAACAUUUUCAGCAAGUGGAAAGUUUACCAGACAAUAAAACUAGCAAAGAGAUGUACUACUUUUGGGUUUGGUAUGGCAAAUCUGAUGAGAUCCCAGGGGCCAGUUCCAAGUUCCAACAGGUAAUUAGAUUAAUGCUGGCCAUUUACGAGCUGUGGGGCCUAUUUUAAUGUUUUAUGCAAAUUAAAUUUGUUCACUGUGAUUUCCUUUGAAUAUUAUCUCCCUUCCUCUUUGUGUGAGAAAAUAGGAAAGUAUCAACAUCCAGGAUGAACGCAAAAAGUAAUGAGGCAAGCAAUCGAAAAUCUACCUGCCAACCAAUACCACGGCUAAGAAUAGAUGGCGGCAGU
rnacentral:lncRNA from 1 species